AGCUAGAAAUCUGCAUAAUACGGACAGUUAUAAAGCACAAGACUCGAGAUGCUGGCAUCAGAAAGUGUAAAUGUUUCUUACAAGAAGGUUAAGAAGAAGAAAAUAAAAUGAAGUUGGUUAUUUUGUGUGCACUUUUGGCCGUAAUGGUUGUCUUGCCACAAUCAGCCUACAGUGAUGAAAGUGAAGCGAUUCGUAUCUCCGACCCUGAAUUCCAUCCAGAUCAGAAGAGUGGGGAAAACGAUGCAAGAAAACAAGCAACACGUGAUUUGAGUUUAAAUUCUAGAACUCCUUGUCAUUUUCGUUUUCGUUGUAAACCUCGUAGGAAAACGUAGGUAUCGUUGGAGACGCUGGGGUUAGCUGGAUGCUUAUUCCUUCUUCAAGAAGUGACAAUAACAAUGUAGCUAUGUAUGUCGUUGUCAAUUCUUUUUACUGUAAUAGCGUAAGUCUGUAGAAAAUAAAACAAAUUCUGUUUUCGUCACUGAAA